AGUUUGAUCCUGGCUCAGAACGAACGCUGGCGGCAUGCCUAAUACAUGCAAGUCGAACGAGAUCUUCGGAUCUAGUGGCGCACGGGUGCGUAACGCGUGGGAAUCUGCCCUUGGGUUCGGAAUAACAGCGGGAAACUGCUGCUAAUACCGGAUGAUGACGUAAGUCCAAAGAUUUAUCGCCCAGGGAUGAGCCCGCGUAGGAUUAGGUAGUUGGUGGGGUAAAGGCCUACCAAGCCUACGAUCCUUAGCUGGUCUGAGAGGAUGAUCAGCCACACUGGGACUGAGACACGGCCCAGACUCCUACGGGAGGCAGCAGUAGGGAAUAUUGGACAAUGGGGGCAACCCUGAUCCAGCAAUGCCGCGUGAGUGAUGAAGGCCUUAGGGUUGUAAAGCUCUUUUACCCGGGAUGAUAAUGACAGUACCGGGAGAAUAAGCCCCGGCUAACUUCGUGCCAGCAGCCGCGGUAA
rnacentral:rRNA from 1 species